GAUGAACGCUGGCGGCGUGCCUAAUACAUGCAAGUCGAGCGACGCGGGGAAGGGUGAGGAACACGUGGAUAACCUCCUUUAAGACCCUGACAACUUCGGUAAACCGGAGCUAAACCGGAUACUUCUUGAUGGAUCCGCGCGGCAUUAGCUAGUUGGUAAGGUAACGGCUUACCAAGGCAACGAUGCAUAGCCGACCUGAGCGGCUGAUCGGCCAAACUGGGACUGAGACACGGUCCAGACUCCUACGGGAGGCAGCAGUAGGGAAGCUUCCGCAAUGGGCGAAAGCCUGACGGAGCAACGCCGCGUGAGUGAAGAAGGUCUUCGGAUCGUAAAGCUCUGUUGUUAGGGAAGCGGUACCUAAUCAGAAAGCCACGGCUAACUACGUGCCAGCAGCCGCGGUAAUAC
rnacentral:rRNA from 1 species